AGAGUUUGAUCAUGGCUCAGGACGAACGCUGGCGGCGUGCUUAACACAUGCAAGUCGAACGGGCCAUCCUUUUGGGUGGUGAGUGGCGAACGGGUGAGUAACACGUGGGUAACCUGCCCCAGGCUCUGGGAUAACUCCGGGAAACCGGGGCUAAUACCGGAUAUGACCAUUCUACGCAUGUAGUGGUGGUGGAAAGGGUU
rnacentral:rRNA from 1 species